rnacentral:rRNA from 1 species
UUGACUCAACGCGGAAAAGCUUAUCUGGUCCGGACACAGUGAGGAUUGACAGACAGUUGGCAGGAGUGGUUCUUGGUAAAAACAAAUGAGAGAGUUGAAGUUCUUUCAUGAUCUUGUGAGAGGUGGUGCAUGGCCGUUCUUAGUUCGUGUAGUGAUAUGUCUGCCUAAUCGCGUCACGAUAACCUAUUGGUCGACAACCCAAUUAUCACAACUGCAGCAUAACUCCCCUUGGGUGGGCGAGGCUCUGUGUAGGAUAGACCUCUGAACAGUACGCAACGAACGCGAUCGUAAUCCCUUGUUGAGUGGCCAUCCUGUAAGCUGCUGGAUUUGAAACCCAGUGGUAUUAUCUCAGCCACAGAUUUUCUGGUUGUAAUGGGCCAGUUUUGAAACUCGGGGAACAUCUGUGACUUUCUUUCUUAACGCAGAGGAAGGUUAUGGCAAUAACA